UACACACGGAUAACAUACCGAAAGGUAUGCUAAUACGGGAUAAUAUAUUUGAGAGGCAUCUCUUGAAUAUCAAAGGUGAGCCAGUACAGGAUGGACCCGCGUCUGAUUAGCUAGUUGGUAAGGUAAAGGCUUACCAAGGCGACGAUCAGUAGCCGACCUGAGAGGGUGAUCGGCCACAUUGGAACUGAGACACGGUCCAAACUCCUACGGGAGGCAGCAGUGGGGAAUAUUGCACAAUGGGCGAAAGCCUGAUGCAGCAACGCCGCGUGAGUGAUGAAGGCCUUCGGGUCGUAAAACUCUGUCCUCAAGGAAGAUAAUGACGGUACUUGAGGAGGAAGCCCCGGCUAACUACGUGCCAGCAGCCGCGGUAAUACGUAGGGGGCUAGCGUUAUCCGGAUUUACUGGGCGUAAAGGGUGCGUAGGCGGUCUUUCAAGUCAGGAGUGAAAGGCUACGGCUCAACCGUAGUAAGCUCUUGAAACUGGGAGACUUGAGUGCAGGAGAGGAGAGUGGAAUUCCUAGUGUAGCGGUGAAAUGCGUAGAUAUUAGGAGGAACACCAGUUGCGAAGGCGGCUCUCUGGACUGUAACUGACGCUGAGGCACGAAAGCGUGGGGAGCAAACAGGAUUAGAUACCCUGGUAGUCCACGCUGUAAACGAUGAGUACUAGGUGUCGGGGGUUACCCCCUUCGGUGCCGCAG
rnacentral:rRNA from 1 species